UCAAAACUUUAUAUUCAAAUUAUAUGAUAUUAAAUUGCAAAUUUAAAGGUAUUAAAUAUUAAUUAAGGUUU
rnacentral:tRNA from 1 species